CUGAAUGUAAGCCUCAUCUGAAAGGGGCAGAUGAAAAAGAGAAUGCAGAAUAGCUGUACUUUGUACAUUGUGAACUGAUAUGUACGCAUUGUUUGCAAGAGAAUAACUCCGGAUAAUCUUGAUGCAAAACCCUGUCGUUCCAAACAUCUAACAAAAGAAACAAGAUUUGUCGCCUUGGGCAUGCACCAUAGUUUCCUUUA
rnacentral:lncRNA from 1 species